AGAAGCAGGUGGCAUCGGCGGAAUCCUGAAAGUUUCUGCCUCUUUUUGGGCUUCUGAUGAUUUGUUGUUGUUCGAUUUUGAAAACGUCCUCGUCGUCGGGGUCGAUAACGUCGUCGUCGGGAGAGAUGAUGGCGGCUUUUUUGAGGAACUCUUCAAGAGCCAACUCGGAGGCGCUACGCUUCAUAGUAAUUUGUUAGGAGGAAGAUCGGAAUUAGGCGGCGGACGGUGGCGAAAAUAGAGAA
rnacentral:misc_RNA from 1 species